UACGGAGGGUGCGAGCGUUGUCCGGAAUCACUGGGCGUAAAGGGCGCGUAGGCGGUUGCGUAAGUCAUCUGUGAAAUCCCGGAGCUCAACUCCGGGGCUGCAGGUGAGACUGCGUGACUAGAGCACAGUAGAGGCGAGUGGAAUUCCCGGUGUAGCGGUGGAAUGCGUAGAUAUCGGGAAGAACACCGGUGGCGAAGGCGGCUCGCUGGGCUGUUGCUGACGCUGAGGCGCGAAAGCAUGGGGAGCGAACAGG
rnacentral:rRNA from 1 species